rnacentral:rRNA from 1 species
ACUACGGGAGGCAGCAGUGGGGGAUAUUGCACAAUGGAGGAAACUCUGAUGCAGCGACGCCGCGUGAGGGAAGACGGUCUCGGAUUGUAAACCUCUGUUUUUGGGGAAGAAAAUGACGGUACCCAAAGAGGAAGCUCCGGCUAACUACGUGCCAGCAGCCGCGGUAAUACGGAGGGAGCGAGCGUUGUUCGGAAUUACUGGGUGGAAAGGGAGCGUAGGCGGGCGCGAAAGUUGAAGGUAAAAUCUACCGGCUUAACUGGGAGCUGCGUUCGACACUGCUUGUCUUGAGUGAAGUAGAGGCAGGCGGAAUUCCUGGUGUAGCGGUGAAAUGCGUAGAUAUUAGGAGGAACGCCGGUUGCGAAGGCAGCCUGCUGGGCUUUAACUGACGCUGAGGCUCGAAAGCGUGGGUAGCGAACAGGAUUAGAUACCCUGGUAGUC